CCUGGACAAACAGUUGACUCUCCUAUAUCUCCAAGUUAUUUUUGUUUAAUAAAAUGCAGCAGAGCGGCUUUCUCAGGAGACUGUCUUUAUUUCACUCUGCACUUCAGGGUCAGUAUUUUAAAAACUUCUUUUUUUCUCAUGUUUGUACUUUCACAGCAAAUAUUUCUGCUGGCAUGGCUGAGGUGGGACUGGCCCCAUUCAAGUGCAGGGAGAAGAAAAUUAACAGCCUGUCACACUGUGACAGAAUGAACAAAAUGACAUAAAUACAGGCACCAGGCACAGGCAGCGGGAUCUUUCUUGGGUGCUGCUACAAUCACUGUGCAGAGAGAGCACACAGGCAGUGAGGGGCAAAUUUGUACAAGGGUAAGUGGAAAACUAUGACCUUGAAAAUCCCUCCUAAGCUAAAGCAUGACCAAAAGAAGCACCUUGGCUUUCAAAAUGAAAAUUCACUGCAUACCUGAAAUUUGUGUGCGUGAGUGAAGGCACUCCAGCCUGAAAGCCAAAAGACUGUGCCCAUGUGUCUUCCCACGGGGACAGCAGACAGAGGCGUCCAGCCCACCCUCAACAUAUCAGCAGACGUGCUCUCUUGCAAAUCAAGGUGAUGGGACCCCCUUGCUCUCCAACAUCUUUCUGGUCCACCCUUCUGCUGGGCCAAAGCUCUGUUCCGGCGCAGCCACAGCAGCCUUGUGAGCAGCCCUGUGGCUCAGACCGUCUCCAGGGCUGGGAGAGAUGGGGCUGAUUUCUCUCCUGCCUUAGUGCCUGGGCCACUGUGCUGCAGGAGACAGAGGGGAGCUGAGCUGCAGAGGGACCGUCUGUCUGCCUGCCCUAUUGCUGUGCGGGGCAGCUGGCAACAGGAGCCUGCUUUAUUUCCUGGGGCCCUGCAACCCCUUCCUUGCUGUUUCUAGGGUAGGUGUUCGCUCGUGCACAGAGCACAGGGCUUCUCCCUCCACAUAUGGGGGAGAACAGUGGCUGGGGAUGGCCAUGGUGCCAGCCAGAGCAGUAACUCUGUGGAGUCCCUGGCUGAGCCCCUGCGAAAGUGGGAAGUGGGAUAUAUGCAGUGUAUACUCCUGCCCUGCACAGGGGCUCUGCCACAGCCCAGACUGGCACAAGGAGAGCUUGUCCCAUGAGAGGUGACGGCUCUCUGGGAGCUCGCAUGCUGCAGCUGAUUAGAGUGUGACGGCUGAAUCAGCUUGCCAGCAGCGCUGUGCCCACCCUCUCUUGCAUCCCUACAGUGGAGCUCCUGAACUGCAGCACUUGUGAUGGUCCGCUGCGCUAAACUAAAUCAGGACUGAUUUUGGUUUAAUAAAGCAGGGUGAAAAUGUGGAAAUCAACACCUUUAAGGUACUUGGGGUUAUACAGGGUUGAACCCAGUCCCUCACACAAGAUUUUUUGUAAAACUAAAAGUAAUGAAAGUAUUAAAAAUACAUGGAAUUGAUCAGAGAAAAAGGCCUAUUGUCACAGGCUCAGGGUUCUGUGGAGUUCAUGUGGCAAACUAGAAGGUCAUUAGUAAAGGAUAAAAUGAUGAGUGAGUGGGUUUUCUGCCCUUUUGAGGUCUGCAGUGGACACUAGGUGAGGAGGACAGACCUCUGAGGAAGCUGUUACUAUUGUAGCUGCCCUGCCCAGGCUCUUCUCAAAUCCCAGAAAUCACUAAGUUAUAAGAUGGGUAUCUUCUACUUGAUCUUGGAAAAAUUAUGUAAUCAGGGAAACUGAAGGAAAGGAUCAGGCAGAAAUCUUCAUUUCCACCCAGCUGGGCUUUCUACUUAUUUUCUUUCUUCCCUCUCACUGUUUCCCCUUCUCUGUCUGCUCGUGCCCCCAUUUCAAAGUCUGGAUUAGGCAGCCAAGAUUGCAUUUUUGUGAGAGUACUGCGAGGGUGCUCAGAAAAGCUGAGCAGUGCCCUGAACAGCUGAAUGCUGGUACAAAUAAUCUCGGAGGAAAUGAUGAGAGCGUGUGCUGUGCCCUUUCUUUCACAAUGAGACAGAGAGGAACAGUCAGCACCACAACAGCCGCUGUGUUUUCUGUCUCCACGGCUCUUCCCUCUCGCUCUCCAUUUGCGUGCUCUUGUCUUUUUUUUCCUCUGAAGGAACAAAAGAAAACAACAUCUGCUCUGGUCCAUUUAAAAUAACCUUUUCCCUUCUUGCCGAAAUGGACAGUAGUUGUCUCCUCCAGUGCCUUACAAGAGCCAGCUGAAGAGUGGCUUUCCCUGAUAGCAGGUCAUUCUGCAAGCAGGAAAAAAAAUGAAGCCUGUUUCUCUGCAGAUCUAUGUUCCUAUCAGUACGUUAAAGAGGAUACACAGGGCUGAGAUGCCUCUGUCUGGAGCCUCAGACUUCAUUUACCAAGCUGAAGUUGAGUUAGCACCUCAGAGGCUCUGGGGCUGUGUCUUGCAUCAGAAACAACACAGCUUGUUAUCAUCCCUGAACUCUGCUCCUGUCAGUCGCCGUGCCAGGUGAUGCUAGGUGACAUGCAGAGGAAAACAGGAUCUCUUACAGAAUAUGUGAAAAGCUGCCGGAGAUGACACAAGAGGCAGGGGUUGGAGCACUUGACAAAGAGAUCCAUUCACCUCCCAUCUAUCAGCAGAGCACCCAGGCAUAGCUGGAACUGUGCUGGAAGAGAAGACCCUGCAGACCUUUUGAAGCUUUUCUCUGCUGCCUGAAAUAAUUAGAGAUUCUUUAGUGAGUAGAAAGGGGGAGAAUAACUCUGUUUCAGAUAUAACAGCACCUGUCUCUGAGUCUCACCAUCCCAGGCCAUCCCUAAGAAUUUAGCUAGUCAUGCCUAGUCUUGUUCUGUCUUUGUCCCCUCAAAACUUUACUCCAGACAGCAGGGUUUCUCUGACCUGUGGGAAGAGAGACAUACAAGUUUAAAGACAAAAAUCAGUCUUAUUCCAGUUAUUACUGUAAUACACCAAGGACAUUAAAAAUUGACACUGCUAUAUUAAAUGUGUUAUUGCUAUCACUUUGAAGGCUUCAGGAUAUGCCAUAUUUACUCUGACCCUUUUACUUUCAAGUGUGUUUCUUCUUAAUGCUUCACAGUAAAAUCAUCUGUGUGGGGGUUUUUUCUUUCUUUCUUCAGAAAUUAGGUGAAUUUUAGAUUUCCAAACCUGUUCUCCUUGACCUUCAAUGAAGAAAGGCCUUUCACUAUGCUGUGAGAAAUGUAGUGAUUUUGUGAUUUUUGCCUAGUUUUUUUUAAGGGUGUAGGAUGGACUGAGUCUCUGGAUUUACUAAACAUUCAAUAAGUAUCCUCCCCAGAUCGCUCCUCCCAUUCCAUUUGGGUUGUAGGAAAAAGUCUAGCCUUGCAGGAAAGAGGGUGUCAAGCCUAAUUAGCCCCCUUCCUUUGAUCUCUUAAGCAGGUUGGAGCACAAAUUCAAGUUCUCGAUUCUGGGACUCUGCAGUUCUAGACAGUUUUCAGGUUUCCUGGGCCCUCCUAUAACUGUUUAAAAAUGUGCACGUAGCGUGCAGUGUACUGCGUGAUGUACUACAGAAUUUGUGAACCUGAAUUACAGACAAACACACUGACCCUUACUUCUGCAUGUGCUUUUAUGGUAUUUCAAUACUUUGUGUAUAUGGCCCUUGUAGCGUUCAACUGCAUGGCAGUUUUCAAUGACCUGCCUAUGGGGCUUUGUUUGGCAACGGUUUCACAAUGGUACCCUGGUGUAUGACACAGGCCUAGAGGUGAAAGGGAAACUGUAUAAGCAACAAGGAAGAGAAAUAGGAAUUAGCAUGAUUAAAAGAUGGCUGGUCCUUGGUGCAAAGGCAUGACAGUGUAGAAAGAUAACAGUACUUGGUUGGAGAACCCAGAGAUGGAGGUUACAGCGGGGCCAUCAGAGAGGCAGGGAUGAGAUCCCUGAGCAACAGAGAGUGAAGUUCAAACAAUGGGAGAAGUGAACAGAGUGAGAGGAAGCAGGGAUGUAGAGGGAGGAAGACUGAGAUGUAGAAAGGUCUGUUUUAGGGGAAUGCCAAUCGAGAUGUGCGAUACCCCCCGUCAGUGCAUGGAAAAGCAACCAGGCUGCUGAGCCUCCCUGCUCUGCUGCCAAUAAGCAGCAAUGGAGCUGUGAUCGCAGGAGAGAUGCUCUCCCCUCCACAGUACACAGCAUCGUAGUAUUCUGAGCAGAUACUUCUUUAGAUCAAAGUGGUAGAAGUCUGUGGAGUGGAUCUAAAGAGUCUCCUCGUUCUGAGCACAACGAUAUGAAUGUUUCCAGAUGACACAUUAAAAAAAAAAUAAGUCUUCGCUCUUCUUUCCCUCACCCCAAACUAGAAAUCUACUUGUACAAGAGACAGUGAGGUUGAAGUUCAGGUGAUUCAGAAAUUCAGAUGACUCAGAACAGUGACAGAAUAGAAGACUGCAUUAUGAUGCAGUCCUUAGUGGGAUACUAUUCUUUCCAAAGGAAUUGAAUUUCUUUGGUACACAAGAUGGAUAGAAGAUCCAUUAGUCAUUUUGUUUUACCUGCAGUAUUUAAUGUGUGGUCCUCUACAUAUUUUAUUGUGUGUUAUUCGGGCUUGUUUAAAAAGCCAUCUGUUUCCUCCUAAAUAAGGACUGCCAUAUAAUUGUUUUUCUCUGGUACAUGCUUCUUUUCUGCCCUUUGAAUUCCAUCUGAGUGAUUUUUUUUAAGAGGUAAUCAGGAUUUUAAAAGAGAGUUUGAGGGAUAGGUGUUCUUGGAUUUGAAGAGUUUGAGAGUUACUGUGCAAGACCUCUACCGCCUCACUUUUUGUGAACUACAUAAUAAGUCAAGUCCUAAAAUUUUCCCAAGUGCUCAUUACUGCUGUUCCUGAGGGCUUCACAAAUACUUAAUUCAUCUUCAUAUAAGCCUGGUGAGGGUUUUAAUUUUGCUCUGUUGUUUUGGGGAAAAGACCUGUCAACAGCAAGCUAGUAACACAAUGCAUAACACCAUCUGGUUAUAGCUAGAUGACUGCUAGCAUAACUCCUGGACCACUUUUCUUUUGUAGGCCAUGUCUUUUUCCCUUCUCAUGCAAGGUGUUUGAAGCAGAGCAUGGUAAACUCUCUUUGCAAUCUGGAAUUCCUUACCAGCUGAGUGCGCAAAUAUCUCAUUUUCACCUACUUUUUAUAGGACUUGGUUUAUGUAGUGUCAAGUCCCUCUUUAAGGUUAAACCGACAGAGCUCUGAAAGGCAGAAGUCUCUCCUACUGCACACUUCAUAUUUAAACUCCAACAGAGUGAUCCAUUACUCAGAGAGGUAGAGGAUCCUGUGGAAAAAAUUAGAUCCCAUCAUUAAAGGUUUCAGAAUUAAUAUUCAGAAGCAUGGCAGAAGGGAUAUCAGUUACACUGGAGUUGCAGACACUGGCUUAAUUUUAGUACUUCCUCAAUUCCCCUGUCACAUUGCUCUUACUAGAUUUUGAUAUAAAUGCUGGAACUGAAAAUCAAAUGGCAAAUGCGCUUAGCAGAACUGAUAUCAAUUCACUGCAAAAUAUAUUACUUGUGACCAAUAAAGGCAGAUUAUUUCACUGGAUUUACUCUGGGUUUACCCUAGUGUAACCCAGAACAGACUGUGGUCCAGUGGGUAUGGGAAAAGUGACACUUUAAAGAAACAAAUCUCACCUAUUUCAAGUUUUAUUAGCUUCUGUUUCUGUUGUGGCUUCCAAUUUUUAUAUUUGUUGUGUACUGGGGCUUGGCUGGAUGAAAGCUUUAGUCUUCAUUGUGUUACAGAGUUUUUGUAAAGAGUAGAUGAUGUUUUUAAAAAGACAAGAAUAGACAAUAUGUGUAACUGUUGAUAGUGAACUUACUCUUGGCUCAGUUUAGCCUUUAGUGUGACCAAGAAUUUUAUCCAAGAGCAUAGUUUCUAUACGGUAUUGCCAAAUUGAGUAAUUUAAAAAUAAUUAGUCAGAUCUUAAAAAAAUAUACUAUGACAUGGACAAUGUUUAGGACUGAAUAUAUGUUCAAUUCAUUGUACUUUGCUACCUGAUUCCUGAGCUUUUGCAGUGUGCUCAGGUUAUAUUUUUAAGCUUUCUCGCUACAACUAUGAAAGCAAGAAAAUUACUGCCUUUUUGUUUAAAUGAAAGAAAAAUGAGACUUUCUCACAUACAAGAGCUCAUACAUUGAGGAAAAAGCCUCAAAUAUCACUAAACUUAUGAUAAAAAGUGGUGAGAAUUGGCAAUUUGUAGCUCCUCAAAGGUGUCCAAGUUUUAGAUAUGCCCUUCUUACAAAUAAAGAACUUCCUCAAGUAUAUAAAAGAUGCAAAGCUAUACUUCUGUGGCAAUACCAUUAGAAAUAACUUCUCUUUCUCCAGGGAAAGACACAGGUUGCCACCUUCUCUCCACAACUAGUGAAACAGGGGGCCAAGCUAAAGAGAAAGAAGUUCUGAUCUUAGCUGAGUUGACAAACUGUUACCACAGUAUGGACUGGGAUUGACUCCAGGAAAGUUAGUGCAAAUACCACAGCUUUCCACUUCGGAUCUAAGAUCAGAAUGUUUCCUGAUACCUCUGUGAAACAGGGGGAGGGAGGGAUGCUGGUUUGGGGGUUUUGUGACUAUUAUCUCGAGCAGCCCAGAAGAGGCUUGGGGCCUCCUUCUGCUCUGGAUUGUGUUGGUUCAAUUCUGCAGCAAUUGCAAAAAGACAAAUUAGCAUACCUCAGAUAAGACUGAGGUUAAAGAAGAAUUUAGCUUUUUGCAACUUUUAGCUCAGUACAAAGACGACAUGUUUUGUGCAUUUUAAACCACAUCUGUCUGCAACAGGGGAAAAUUUAAUUCAGGACAUGGAAGCACUUUUCUCAAUGGCUAAAGCAGACACUGGAGAUUGACCUCAUGGAAAUGAUACAGGAUCAGAUAUGGGUUCUUAUCUCUCUGGGAUAUAAUCUACGAAGAAUGAAAAAGUGAAGAACUCAGGAACUGCUGUGGUGUGACCUAGUGAAUGGUGAAGUCUCAUUUUCCCGUCUCCCUAGAGAUCCUGAGAAUUCAGCUAUUCCAUUUGAGAAAGGACAUGUCAGCCCCUUGUUCUCAACCCCCGAUAUGACAUUUGUCUGCUAUUAUUAAAGUGAGAGAGUUUCACUCAGGAUAUUCUAGGGCUUCUUUAGCUACAUCUGCUAAAAUUACAAGAGAGCCUGGGCCUGCCUGCAGUUUGCCAGCAGGUUCUGUUCCAUUAUUAUCUGUUUUUAUGAACCAAUACUUGCUCAUCUCUUUUUGCUUUGCAAAGAAUCCUUGUUUUCCACACUGGCAGCAGAUUACUACAUGUGUCCUGUAAGGUGACCAGAUGACUUCUCUGUACAUCUGCCAUUGCUCCAAGGGUUCUUUACAGAGUUGCAGCCUAAGCAUCUCUCCUGAAUUUCUAAGGAGCUGUUUUUUGUUGUUUUGUUUUUUUUUUUUUUUUUCUCAUGAGGGCAGCUACCGCAAAGUGUUGUCACCCUCUGUCCACUUUUCUGCAGGAGGAUGCCUGUGACUGAUAUACCAUCCCAUGGCUACAGGAGAUGACCACUGCUGAUAGCAGUAGCUUUCUCGUUUCUUGUAGAAAAUCUUCAAGCCAGUUUUAUCAGACACACUCCUUCCCAGUCAUCUGGAGGCUCCAAAGAAUUUUUUUAAUACUUCUACAACAGACCUUUCAGCAUUUGGAAGAGCAGGAGGGGCUUCUCUGGUGGACGUGGUUCUUGUGUAGGUUGGUGCCAACAGAACUUGUCUGUUGUCCCCUCAAUAUCAAAACAGCAGCCUCUACAGUGGAAUAGUUGAAGACUAUAUCCAAUAGUUGAAGAUCCCAUGUCCAACAGGUCUGUUUGGCUUCCUCUUGCUGCUUGGGCCUCAGCGUGAGUCAGCACCAGAAGUCUGAACAGUCCUGCAUGAAUAAGAAGCUCAAGGCAGUUACCCUGUCAGGGCACCUCUCUUCCAAAUGCCAUACAUGAAAGACCCACAGCUUGUUACAACUAUCUGGCAGCUGGCCACAGACCAGGAGGCCUCCUUCCUCCUCAUCCCUACAUCUCUCAGGUCCAUUGGAAGCCUUAUCCUGGACAGCCAACUUGCCUUUUUCCUUCUCGGCUUUUCUCCCCAGUCUAUGUGCUCUUGAGUAAUUACUCCUUUAUGCUAAUCAUCAUAGCUGUGUUCUUUCUAGCUCUCUUUAAUUACUGUCUAGCUUAUAUAUAACCCCCUCAUACUGUAAUCAUAGAGAUAGUAAAGAUUAUGCAAAUGCUGAUUAAGGUGUAAUGUGGCUUGCAGAACAUUCAUCAUAACUGGUGAGACGGGAGAAGAAAGGAAGCUUGAUUCUUAGGGGCUAGGCUAAAGUUGUCCUGAGAGCGUUUAUAUUUUACAUUUUUCUAGUUGAAAAGUGAACAUAUUCGAUACUGAGAGUACUGAAACUCAGCAAGAAAAAUAUUUGAAUAGAAUCGUGCUUCCCUAGAGAUAAAUUUAAAUUAGAUACUUGUUCUUGAGUCUCACCUAUGCAAUAUGUGAGGGUUGCUAAGACAGUUGUUUGCAUCCUGAAACAGCCAUUAUCACCCUGAUACCACUUGGAGCACUUUUUGUCACUUUCUUCAUAUGCAGAGGGCAGAGAUCUCCCAAAUCCUGUGAUGAAAAUUAUAGGUAAAGUGGAAUUAUCCUAAAUAUGUCAGUGAAUGUGCCGAUCUUCUUUCCUCUCCUAACUCUGAAGUGGAUAAGUAGAAUCCAGCUAAGAGAUAUCUUCAGACAAACAGCUGGCUAAUCAUUUUUUCUCUAGAGUUACCACAUUUUUAUACAUAUUAUCAUGAGGCAGGAUGAAUGGUGCCUGGAAAACUGUAAAUCUGAAUUUUCAUUUACUAUAUAAGGUGAGAAAAUUGCCAAGAAUAACAGGAAAAACUGUUGAGUAACAAGAGGCAGACCAACAAGGAAUACAAGCUCUAUAGUAAAAGCCAGAGAGACACAAGGAUAUUAUACCUUCACAUAGGUGUGCAUAUGUCUUGGAUCCAACACUUGUGGAUCCACUAGAGGGCUGGAUAUACCUUAGACAAAGGCCAGCAGGGAAUUGUUAAUCCCACGAAGCAAGUCCCAAAACUGUGUCUGUCAGAACUGGAUCUGGAGUGGAACAUCCCUCAGUAGGACAAUAGUAUCUCUGUCAUAAACACAUGGCAAAAUCCAUGGGAUUUAACAAAGGGAAUCGGGGUUAGCUGUGUCAGCUAUAGCUCCCAAGGGAACAGUGUUGACAACAGCAGCGUUGUUUUCCUCUAGACUUCUAGAACAAGUGUUCUUUAGACGAUGAUUGCUCCUGACUGGAUUGUCUCCAGGAAUCUGCUGCCAUUACUGUGUAGCAAACACAGAGGUUCCAUCUCACGGUGAUCUCCUUGGAAGGUCUGCCUGGGUCAAGCUGCCUGUGAAGUCAGGACAGAGUACUUCAGGGUUCAGAAAUACAUCUUUUGCAGGCAGUUUACUUAUAACAAAAAACACCCAGAGGCUCAAAGAACCUUAAAGAAUCCUCUGAAAUCUCCCUUUAGAACCUGGUAGAGCAGUGUCAACAAAAGGGAGAGAAAAAAGCCUCACAGCUGGCACAACUGAAAAUAAAUCUGUUCUGCUACUCUGGUGGCACUGGAAGCAAGGUACAUAGAUAACCUGGAAGCCAGGAAAGUGAUAAGACUUGACGACCACUUCCCAGUCACCUCAAAUGCUCAAAUUGUUCCUAAGCCUGAUCUCACAGGUUGGUUUGUGUGCCCAUGACUACAUGCAGAAAAGGGGAAAGUAAAAAUAGUUGUGUCACCCUGAAGAAACAGCUACUAUUGAUUACUGCAAAGAGCCAAUAACAAUUUCUACAAUAAUGAACAAUUUUCAGCAUUGAAAGUACAUUUAUCUGGUCUUUCUGCCAAAACUAGGUGAGAAUUUUCCUCUGAUAUGAUUAGAUUCUGAGAUUCUUGAUAGAGAAAAGAUCCUGAGGAUAUUUUCAGAGACAGAGAUAUUAUCCAGAAAAUGAGGGCAUCUGGAUAAAUCAAUACAGCUGUUAUAUAUAUUCAUGUCAACCUUUUACUUUGCCAGGUGUUCAACAGAAUCCUUGUGGUUGUUUGUUACAAACUAGUAUAAUAACUGAUGUUCUAUGUCUGGGGAAAACUUUUGGACCAAAUCCUCAUUCGCGAUAAAGCUGCUUUAUGCCACUCAAAAAGCACAAAGCAGCCUUUAAGAUGCUUUUACUGGUUAUAUUCAGACUCAGCUGUCACAGGGGAAUCUCCAUAUGGUGGAGAGCUGGUCUUGCUGAGUCUGCACUCUUCCCAUCACAGCUCUGAUUUUGGAGCCAUGCUGAGAGACAGACGUACAGCUGAAGCAUUGCUGUGCUCUAAUAAUUCCCUGCUGUGGAACUGUAUCUUGUCUCUUUCUCCAGGUACAGCUUAGAGUUCAUGUGAACCACUUUAUGGGCCUCUUUGGAAAUCCACUGACAUGCACUCAAAAAUUUCAUUUGACUCUGAAGUCAGUUUGGCAUGGGCACAAUGGCAGUCUUGGUGGGAGGGGAGCCUGGGGACCUCAAUAUAUUUUUAAUAGUCUCAACGAGAGAGUAAGAAGGCCCUAAGAUUACUGAGACACAGUUGCGACAUGGCAUAUUAAUAUUUCUUGUCAAUUGUGAAGCAGGAUCUAUAAGCUGACUUGGGAAUUACAAUUAGUUUGAAUGAAAGGAAAAAUGUCACAUAGCAUACUCAUGAAAGCAUGUAUAACUAACUUCUGAAAGAGUUGGGGAAUGUUUCACUUCAAAUGCAUGUCAUUUAGAAAGUCAUCACUUUCUAGGAAUUUCAAGUAGAAAAACACGGCUUGGGCAGGGGAAUUUUUUUUUCCUUAAGCAAAUGGUCUAUCACAUCAGACAUUAUUGCUUAGUAGCUGACAAAAUAAACCCCAGGGAAUCUUUAUCUCAUGUAUAGGAUGCAGUAAAUGAAUGUGUAUUUCCACAAUCCAGGUCCUCUUGGGCUGUGCUUCAGCAAUAAAAAGCAAAAUGAAUGUAAUGAUUUUAUUGUUCUCUUAAUAAGCAUCUUCAACCCAAAGCAUAGCAUGAGGAAACUGCAAGUCAAGAAGCUUCCUCAGUGCCAGAAACGCAGAAAGUGGUUCCUACUAAGUCUUGCUCAAAUACACAAUAGGUAUCGAUUAGGAACAUGACAUAACCAUCUUCUGCAGAAACUGUAGAGAGGGCACGCAUGAUGCACAGGAAUUACAGCACUUAAAGUUAGCAUUAUGUACAGAACAAAGGCCAAACUACACCUGAAACAGUAGGGCUAAUGCAGACAUACUGUAUCAUAACUAAUUACAAGCAUUCAGCUGAAUGACUGUUAAUUGCAGUAAGUCAAUUUACACAAGAAACAAUGGUUUGCUGCCCUCUCCUCCUCUCAGGUUUACUUCCAGCAUUAAAAAUAACCUGUUGAUGCUGCUUUUGGGGAGUGAGGACUGUCAAUGAUCCCUCUGUACAACUACACAAUGGCUGUUUCGUGUAGGAGGUCUCACAGAACACCUUUCCUGCAGCCCUCACUCAUCCAGGGUCACAAAAUGCCUUUCAGUAUCAGGUGAUAAGCUUAAGAGCUUCAAUAAAAGACCAAACAUCUCAAGCACAGUAUCACAGAAGACUAUAACCAGUACCCCUGCAACAAGUAUUUACCAAAUAAAUCUCCUAGAAGAUUCUGAGAAAGUGGCGAGGGGUAGAUGGAAGGCAAACCAGGACUUUGCCAGGCUCACCUGAGGUAAAAGGUUUCGUUGUGACCCAAAUCUGGCAAUCAAUUCAACCGUACGCCUGUGAGAAAGAUGUACCACAAACCACCUGACGAAUUAAUGUCACCAGUGUCCUUUCUACAUCCUGUCUCUGACUAAUCUCCAGUGCUUCAGAGACAGUUGAAAAAAUGCUCAGCAGCCAAAUUCAGGUGGGGUGGAGGACCAGAAGAAGCUGUGAAGCUUGGGAAUGGUCAAAGUACAACGCCAAAGGUCAGCAGCUCAGUCCCCUUCAAAUCCCCCUUGGACACACUGCAGUAUCAUGCCAAGAUUUAAGAUCAUUCAGGUGCUUGUACUUAGAGUAUUGAUUGCUCCUGGAAUGGUUAGAAUGCUUUCCAGUCCGUGUCCUGAUGACCAACUUAACAACCAUAUAUUCUUGUGCUAGUAUAAUUCUGUAAUUUAAAUAGUUCUCCUUCCUUGAUACUUACUGUUUGAAUGUAUUUACAGGGAAUCAUCACACGGUUUCAGCUUGCUUUGGGUAACCAAGGGAGCAAUGCUUGCUCACUUGCACCUCCUGUUCAAGGGGAUCUCUGCUCCCCGCUACCCCAGUAUUCCUCUUCUGCACCUGUGGUGACCUGAGUCAAUCUUUUCUGAUCAUAAGUCACCAGAACUGGACAACUUUCCAAACAAGGGUCCUGAGCUGUGCUGUGUAAAGCCAUUUUAAUACUUCCCUCUCUCUACUAAAAAUACUCUGCUUCAUGCAUCAUACACUCGCAUAAGCCUUUUCCACAGCUAUUCCCUCUGGCAGCUCUCAGCCAUGGAGGAAUUCACUCACAUUGUAGGUCAGACAAGUAGGCCUAAGGUCACCAGCAUCACCACCUUUCUUCUUCCACUCCAGUGUUCCAGACAUGGUGUACCACUUCUAACCUUGGACAAAUCUUUGCUUUGGCCACUGUGAUUUCCUUUGUCAGCUCCUUUCAAUAGUUUUGGCUAAAAAUUAUCUUUGGCUUCCUCUGUCCUGUCAACCUCACGAAUUUCCUCUAUUUCUCUAAGUUUGCUGUUCUGCUAUCACAAGCCUUAGACGAAGACCUACAUUUGUCCCUCUUGCACUUUAAUGUAAACUGGAUUAGCCCGCGAUCACUCAUUUUAAGAUUAGUUUCAACAUAAGGUCCUUGCUGCUUAUUAAUCCUAGGCCUAAAACAUCUUCUUUCAUGGACUCAGUCCCUGUUUGCUUGAGAAAUGGAGUUUCUAUGACACUUGAGAACAUUUAAGCCCUAUCAUCUCCCAGUGGUAUUUUCCAAUCUGUAUCUGAGAAAUUAUCGUUUCCCAUAAUCACAUGAUAUUUGCUCUUCUAUGUCUUCCCCAUAGCUUCUAGAGGUGAGUAUUCCUGUCCAAGUUUGUAAUGGAUUACCCCCCUUCUCUUGGUGGAUUUUAAAAAAAAUUAUUUGUUCUUGUGUAAUUUUGCAAUGUAAUGCCCUAUUAUUUUAUUUCUUCAAACCACUUUACUAGAAUAUACAGUAACUCCAUGGUCUUUGCCAUUAUUUCUGUCAUCCUAAGUAGUUACCCCUGCAACAACUACGUUCUGAAUACCACUGCUAAGCCGAGGUGUGCAGCAUGUAACACCAGCAUUGAGACACAAGGUUCCAGGGCUCGGUGAAAGCACAUUGCUUAUACCAUGAAAUUCCAAAACCAGUUAAAGACAAGGCUUUAGAGACAUAUCUUGCUGUAAUAAUUGUAUCAGAAAUCUUAAAAAUCUUGUAGUCAUGAUAUGAAAAAAGAAAAAACCACCAAAUCACUUGAACAGCAGAUAUUGCAUUAGAUUAAUGCUUUAUCCCUUUGGCUACAGAUAUUUUUAAAUGUGGAAAAGCUUCUGACAUCUUUUAGAUGGUAUAAGAAUUUGUUUUCUCUUUUGGGGGAAUAAUACAUUAGUAUAGCUGCUAGAGCUACAGGCACUGGAAACCUAUUAUGUUUUUCCUUCCUUUUCUUUUUUUUUCCUUUUUUUCUUUAAAGGCAAAACAAGAGGACAUAAAAAGAGUGGCAAAGAAGGAAAUUGCAGGUUUGUCUCUGAUGGAAACUUAUUUGCAGUGCUGCUGCUGGAGAAAUCCAGGCUGGGUGCACAGUCCUAUCAGCUGGUCCAGAGCUAAGCAAUCUUGAACAAGCGAUAGGAACAUUUAAGACAUUGGUCUUAGAUUGUCUUUCUGAUCGCAGGUUCAAGGCAUCAUCUCAAAAGGCGCAGUUGUCUUGACAGCUAAGCCAGCCUCUUACUGGGGACAGCAGCAAAAGGCGGGAGAGAUAGAGAGGGGGGGAGAGAGAAAGCAGAGAAGUGGGAUGAGGAAAAAAACAGCACACAAGGAGGGAAUUAGCAGUGCGAGCCAAGCUUCGUAUUUUUGGGGCUGGUGAGGACACAGCCCGAGCUAGAGAUCUUCGGGUUUGCGGGGCAGGUUGGUGUGGGCGUUACAGAGAUCCGGGGGAUGAGGACCGAAGAGGGUCAGGAUGGAUUUCGGGACGUGAGGAGAUGCUGUAAGCGGCAACUAUGACGCAAAGCUUGUCCGUUCAGGAUCACGCAUCCAACUGUUCCUCCCUAGUGAUCCCUCGAUAAACAACGUCCAAAAAGGACGGUGACCUCAUCCCACUGAAAUUAGCCAAACACCACACAUUUCUCCGUGUUCAGCUCCGCACAUUCCUCACAGCUCCGGCUCUCCCGGCUUCCUGACCUACCAGCCCUACCGCUGCAUCCGGAGCUUCGAAGCCCCCGGUGCGGCAAUACCUCCCACAGACCCUGGCCCAUGCCGCCGCCGGCUGGGACCCGCGGUCUGCGGCUGAACCCUCUUGGUCCCGGCUGAGCCCCCUUGGCUCCAGCUGAGCCCCCUUGGCUCCGGCUGAGCUCCCGCCGGCUCCGGCUGAGCCCCCUUGGCUCCGGCUGAGCCCCCUUGGCUCCGGCUGAGCUCCCGCCGGCUCCGGCUGAGCCCCCCCGGCUCCGGCUGAGCCCCCCGCGCCGCUUCUGCGCCAGAGCCGCCUCUCCUCCUCCCCUCCCGGCAGCCCGGUGGGUCGGCGGGGAGACGGCAAACCGCACAGCGGUGCCGGCCGGUCAUCUGCCCUUAUCGGGAUAUGCCGCGAUACAAGCGGAGCCCGACGCAGGCAUUCGUUUAACCUGGCCGCUCAGAGCGACAGGUUCUAUCGGGUGCCAGCGUCGCCAUCCUACCCCCGCUGCCGGGAGAGCCGCCUGACGGGGGAGGACGGGUCCCUCUCGCACCUCCAGGAAAGGGAACACACCCCCCGCUCCGCCGGCCGGUGACUCGGGGUUGCCACCUACGGUCGGCUGCUCCCCGCCUGCAGCCGGCCCGAGCCCGCCUGAAGCGAUCGGCCCCUCCGGGGGGCGAGCGGCCCUGGCUUGCUGCUCUUUUCUGAUCUUUUCCAGACUCUUCUCCCCCUCCCCCCUCCCCUUUUUUCCUAGUGACAUUUUUUUUAUUUUUAAUAAAGGCUAUUGUGUCCAACGCGACCCGUUGUGCGGGGUUGCUCGCACGUCCCUGGGGGCAGAGAGGGGAAACAGGCGGCUCUUCACCGCGCCGAUCCUUCUCUCCCGGCGCCCCGCGUCCCGCCGCCAUCCCCGGAGCCCUUCUCCCAGUGCCCCAACGGCCGGGCCGGUGCAGCAACGCCCGCCCUCAGGCCGAGCCCCCGCAGCGGCGGGGCGAGCCUCGGCACGGCUCCCGCAGCGCCAAAACCCGCCCCGAGCGGGACGCUCCGU